rnacentral:tRNA from 1 species
GGUCUGUUGGCUCAGCGGUAGAGCACAUCUUCACAUCGAUGGGGUCAAUGGUUUGAGUCUAACACAGACCA